rnacentral:tRNA from 1 species
AAAAAUCGUGAGGGUUCAAGUCCCUCUAUCCCCA